UUGGAGGGCAAGUCUGGUGCCAGCAGCCGCAGUAAUUCCAGCUCCAAUAGCGUAUAUUAAAGUUGUUGCAGUUAAAAAGCUCGUAGUUGAAUUUCGGGAUUAGUACGUUGGUCGUGCCUUAGGUACGUACUGGUGUUACUGGUUCCUACCUUCUGACGAACCAUCAUGUCAUUAAUUUGGUGUGGUGGGGAAUCAGGACUGUUACUUUGAAAAAAUUAGAGUGUUUAAAGCAGGCUCGCGCUUGAAUACAUUAGCAUGGAAUAAUGAAAUAGGACGUUGAUCCUAUUUUGUUGGUUUCUAGGAUUGACGUAAUGAUUAAUAGGGAUAGUUGGGGGCAUUAGUAUUCAAUUGUCAGAGGUGAAAUUCUUGGAUUUAUUGAAGACUAACUACUGCGAAAGCAUUUGCCAAGGAUGUUUUCAUUAAUCAAGAACGAAAGUUAGGGGAUCGAAGACGAUCAGAUACCGUCGUAGUCUUAACCAUAAACUAUGCCGACUAGGGAUCGGAUGAUGUUAUUUUUAAUGACUCAUUCGGCACCUUACGGGAAAC
rnacentral:rRNA from 1 species